AGUGAACGCUGGCGGUAGGCCUAACACAUGCAAGUCGAACGGCAGCACAGUAAGAGCUUGCUCUUACGGGUGGCGAGUGGCGGACGGGUGAGGAAUACAUCGGAAUCUACUUUUUCGUGGGGGAUAACGUAGGGAAACUUACGCUAAUACCGCAUACGACCUACGGGUGGAAGCAGGGGAUCUUCGGACCUUGCGCGAUUGAAUGAGCCGAUGUCGGAUUAACUAGUUGGCGGGGUAAAGGCCCACCAAGGCGACGAUCCGUAGCUGGUCUGAGAGGAUGAUCAGCCACACUGGAACUGAGACACGGUCCAGACUCCUACGGGAGGCAGCAGUGGGGAAUAUUGGACAAUGGGCGCAAGCCUGAUCCAGCCAUACCGCGUGGGUGAAGAAGGCCUUCGGGUUGUAAAGCCCUUUUGUUGGGAAAGAAAAGCAGCAGGUUAAUACCCCGCUGUUCUGACGGUACCCAAAGAAUAAGCACCGGCUAACUUCGUG
rnacentral:rRNA from 1 species